rnacentral:rRNA from 1 species
AUACGUUAGUGGCGCACGGGUGAGUAACGCGUGGAUAUCUGCCUUUUGGUUCGGGAUAACCUUGGGAAACUAGGGCUAAUACCGAAUGGUUCCUACGGGAUAAAGAUUUAUCGCCAAAAGAUGAGUCCGCGUCCGAUUAGCUAGUUGGUGGGGUAAUGGCCCACCAAGGCGACGAUCGGUAGCUGGUCUGAGAGGACGAUCAGCCACACUGGGACUGAGACACGGCCCAGACUCCUACGGGAGGCAGCAGUGGGGAAUAUUGGACAAUGGGGGCAACCCUGAUCCAGCCAUGCCGCGUGAGUGAUGAAGGCCUUCGGGUUGUAAAGCUCUUUUGGCGGGGACGAUGAUGACGGUACCCGCAGAAUAAGCCCCGGCUAACUUCGUGCCAGCAGCCGCGGUAAGACGAAGGGGGCUAGCGUUGUUCGGAAUUACUGGGCGUAAAGCGAGUGUAGGUGGUUGUCGUAGUCAGGCGUGAAAGCCUUGAGCUCAACUCAAGAAAUGCGCUUGAUACUGGGCAGCUAGAGGACCGGAGAGGAUAGUGGAAUUCCCAGUGUAGUGGUGAAAUACGUAGAGAUUGGGAAGAACACCAGUGGCGAAGGCG